rnacentral:tRNA from 1 species
UAAGAGUUAGUUAAAAAAUAAUAUAAACUUGUCAUGUUUGAGUUGAAACCCCACUCUUAA